rnacentral:lncRNA from 1 species
UAAAAACCGCAUUAGGUUUCCGGAUCAUCGAUCCAUAUUGUGUUAUUAGAGAUAAUUAUUAUGUUCACACUUUAACCCCUCACAAUAACACUUGCUCCAACGAAACUAUGGUCCAAUGCUCUGUCAAGACGAGCUUGGCCAUCGAGCGAAGCCACUUCGAGAAUUAAACCAUCGUACGGAGCUAAAUGAAUGCAUCCUGUUGUUUGGCUAUUGCUCAUGGCAUUUGCUUUUUUCAAAAAGUGAUGCUUUUACAACUUUCCCUGUCAGUGCCUGUCGUGUGACCGCAAGACCUAAUAAUAAAUGGUUGGAUUAUUUGCAAGUACGCAGAACGACACUGGAGCCAACAGCGAGAUCAAGAUAAAACUGGAUCCUUGUAUACGCGACCGUGUUUUAUGCCAGCUGGUUUCUCGAAGUAAAAGUUGUGGCGGAAAUGAAGUUAAUUUGAGUGGCUAAAAGAGGUAGCCAAGGGCCGCCAUCACUCGUAAUGUUCUGCUUGCUGCCCUAGAAGAAUGACCAUUUCUUCAGAAAUGCAAACAAUAGCGGCGUGUAUAUCACCGUUCAAACUGAUACCAACAUGAGCAAAGAGCAAUACUUAUCAUAGCUUGACUGUUUCAUUUCCAUAUUUCUUUGAUUGUGCUCACCUUAACUUAAGACUAAAAUCAACCCGUCGCGGAGUCACCUGUAACCACAGACAACAUCGGCAUAUUGAAGCAGCCGCUGAUGUACAAGCAACGCGUACCCUUCUCAAUCCGUCGCCUGUCAAGUGACCUGUAAAAAAGAAUAAUAAUCAAACAAUUAUCACCAUUAGAUUUCGGCGAAGAACUUAAUGGACAUACAGAUGGUAAGACACGGGUGUUUUAGCGUCGGCGUCUUGAACUUUCACCAAUCGACUCGUAUCACGCGUGCUCUGACCAUGUCACAAGCUCAAAAUACCAGCUACAAAUAAUAUUUUGCACUCGAACUUAUCCCGGCAACGCCCUUCGAAUUACGGAACCGUUCAAUGGAAGCGAAAGUUUUAAAACGUUUAAAAAACGGAAAGCCAGACAACGUCUUCCUCCAUAUUCUACCCAGACCCACAUCAUUGAAUAAUAGGUUCAUACGUGUGACCGCUUUGGCCCGUGGCGUAAUAACCUGAAAGGAAGACAUAUCAUCCAAGUUAAAAAGUGGCAUUUUGUUUUAUUUGAUACUUGCGCUCGAUAUCCAGAGGACGUCAGUGAUGCGUUGACGGGAACUGUAGCCAAGCGGAAGCAGGUCGAUCACGAUUCACUGGCUAGCUGAAUGAGGAGUGUUACAUCGGGUAGUUCCUUCAUCGAAAAACGCGUUGGAGGCCGUCGGAACACGCUUGAAAAGGGAAGAACGCAGAGGGGCAUAGUAGUAAAUGCGUGAUCUGCUGGCUGACUUCAAAGGCUAGAGUCGACGGAGUGGGAUUUAGGUUCGUUGGGGCAACAUUAGUGACGACGACAGCAGCGACGCCAAUUGCGACAAUCGACAGAUAGGAUGAAAUUUUUCCAAACAUCUCAAAAUGAGUCCCUAUUCCGCUCUGCUGUCCUCACGGCGUCCGCUAUUGGCUUCACUGCCGCAGUCUUUGCUACAGAUCUCGCAGCUGGUGGAAUGACAGAACGUUCGAUGCUAAACCAGAAGGCCGGGUAGCAGCACGUGUUAAACAGCUUCUCGGAUCCUCGAUGUGACAAGCCUCUCUUUGGCACCGAGCGAGACAGAGGAAAAACUAAAACGACGACGUGAAGGGGAACGGGGCGCGCGAAGCGAAAGGAGUGCACCUUAAGAAAGCCGACGCGAAUGUAAAUUUCAUGCUGACAUCGAGUGGAUAACAUUCUCCAAUCAGCUUAGUCUAGUUAUUGCAGCCUGGUAGAGCUAUGGGCAGUAACCAUCACGAGAAGGAUGUCGAACUCCUUCUCCCCGUCGCGGCGACUCCUGUCCGAAUCAAGACAUCCAACGAGUCACCCAAUUACCUGCGGAUACUUACCGCCACUAAAAACGAGAUCAAACCGCCAAGCGGCCCUACAGAUUUGUCUUUUGACAUUCGGUUCUUCGUCUUUCGUAGCGAUUUGAGGUUCCGAAAAAAGAGAAUAGAAAGCACAAACGAUGACCUGGGCUGCUUCUAACGUGCCUCUUUCAAAAUGCUCGUGUGAACACGCCAAUAUGAAUGGCCACGACGGCGCGAUGGUUUCAGUAAUAGUGGGUUCGUCUGCAACAAUUUACUGCUGAUUAGUUGCCCGCGGUUGCAAUAUUGAAGCAUUUUGAGAACGAAGCCCUAACAGCUGACGGGCAACCAGCGUGCCUACUUUUUUCAUUUAUUCUCGAUCGACCUUUGAUCUGAUAACUUUUGCUCCUUAAUCCCCUCUGAAAAUAGCUACGUGAUUCCGUCAAAUACGCACACUCGGCCUCGUAGCAACUCAACUUUCCGAUGCGUCUCUGCGGCUUUGUCGCCUUCAGCUUUUACCGUGAAGACACAUUUUCGUAAAAAUCCGUCCCUGCGUCCUUGGGGGCACGAGAAACCGCAACUGUCUUCACUAGCGUAUCUGUUAACAUCUUCUGGAGAGUCUUCCUUAUCUUAUGUAAUAA